UUCCAUGCCCCUUGGCAGUCACCAUUCCACCUGACCAUUUGAUUUCUUUUCUCUCUUUUUUUUGGUUCAGGCGUUCUUGCACUGUUCUUUUUUUUUUUUUUUUUUGCAGGAUCGACCUCGAUUCCUCUUAUCCGCUCAUNUUUUUUUUUUUUUUUUUUUUUUUUUUUUUUUUGCAGGAUCGACCUCGAUUCCUCUUAUCCGCUCAUAAUAAGCCUCGGCAGCUUACCGGACAGCACUCCAUAAGUGCACUGAUUCGAACUUAACAGUAUG
rnacentral:lncRNA from 1 species